rnacentral:rRNA from 1 species
AGAGUUUGAUCCUGGCUCAGAGCGAACGCUGGCGGCAGGCUUAACACAUGCAAGUCGAGCGGGCGUAGCAAUACGUCAGCGGCAGACGGGUGAGUAACGCGUGGGAACGUACCUUUUGGUUCGGAACAACACAGGGAAACUUGUGCUAAUACCGGAUAAGCCCUUACGGGGAAAGAUUUAUCGCCGAAAGAUCGGCCCGCGUCUGAUUAGCUAGUUGGUGAGGUAAUGGCUCACCAAGGCGACGAUCAGUAGCUGGUCUGAGAGGAUGAUCAGCCACAUUGGGACUGAGACACGGCCCAAACUCCUACGGGAGGCAGCAGUGGGGAAUAUUGGACAAUGGGCGCAAGCCUGAUCCAGCCAUGCCGC